rnacentral:lncRNA from 1 species
GAAACUUGUAGAAGAAUUGAUGAUUUAAGAAGAUUUUGACUCGUUCUUUGACAAAAACGUGAAAAUAUAACAGUUAAGAUCUUCUAUUUCUAUUCUAAAAAAAAAAAAAAAAAAACAAUUAAGUGUUCACAACAUUUUUUCAUAUUUAAUGUUGAACUGAUCUUAAUUAAUAGUUCAUCCAUUCUGAAAAAAUAGUUCCAAUUUUCUACUCCCUCCGUCCCAC